UACGUAGGUGGCGAGCGUUGUCCGGAUUUAUUGGGCGUAAAGCGCGCGCAGGCGGUUCGCUCCGUCCGGUGUGAAAUCUCCCGGCUCACCUGGGAGGGGGCGCUGGAGACUGGCGAACUGGAGGCAGGGAGAGGUCGGUGGAAUUCCCGGUGUAGUGGUGAAAUGCGUAGAGAUCGGGAGGAACACCAGUGGCGAAAGCGGCCGACUGGACCUGACCUGACGCUGAGGCGCGAAAGCGUGGGGAGCGAAC
rnacentral:rRNA from 1 species